CUACAGCCUGGCCAAUACCUUGUGCAGCCAAGUCCAUCCUGGAGCACCUUAGGAAGGCUUUAAUAUGCCUGUCCCCCAGUGACCAGUGCUGCCAUCCUUGCACUGACUUGCAUAUCGUUUGAAUGGCCUUCCUUGAUCUGUUCAGAUCUUUUGCUCAUCUCUACCUUGGUUUAUCGUUCCUUCGCUUUCUCCAUUUCUUCCCACUCUGCCUUCCACUUUACCCCCUUUCCUUCUUUUCUUUUUCUUUUUGGACAGCAUUUGCCAAGGUUGGUUUCAAACAUCGAGCUCCUGCCUCUGCCUCCUGAGUGCUGGGUUAUAGGUGUGUACCAAUAUGCUUAGGAAUUGUCUAUCUUUUUAAUCACUAUGUUUUGGGGGCACUUUAUAUAUUCUACACACAAGUUCUUUAUGAAUGUAUGAUGUGUCAAGUUUUCUCCCAUGGUAACAACCUAAGGAGUUUUGUGAUCAAGCCUAAUUUAUCUCUUUACUAUUCUGUGAAUGUGCUUCCAAUGUGCUAUGAAAGAUGUCAGGCCUAAGUCACAAUGGUUUUCCUCUGUGAGAUUGCAAGGUCUUGCCCCUCCUUUGUGAUCUCGAAGCCACUGUGAGUUGAAUUUUUGUCACAGUGCACAGUGUGGCGAUGCUUGUCUUUCUUAUGACCAUUUCCCCUUUACAGAAAAGAGUGAGGACAUUCAAAGAUUUGCCCAAAGGUCACAGAGUUCACAUCUAAACUCAGGUUCGCAAGUCAGCUUUGCAGGCAUUCGCUUCAGUUCUUUGUUUUGUUUGAGAAGGCCUCGCUAUGUGACAGGGGCUCACUAUAUAGACCAAGCUGCAUCAGACUUACAAAGACUCACUUGCCUCUGCCUCACCAGUGCUGGGAUUAGCAGUGUGAGCCGCCACACCCAUCUCCAAACAUCUUCAAUCAAGAAUAACCACCGUUCUUCGCUGGAGUCAACUCAAAGCUCUACUUUGUAGUAGGUGGACAGAAUGAUUUUGGAGGCAGCUGCAAUUUAGAACAAGCAUGGCACGAUGGUUUAUUUCCAGCAGGUCAAAGAAACCUUCCUGAACGUUUUCCAACACAGCCACACACAUGCUUGUAUCAUGCCUGAGCUCUGCAGAAAACAUGACUAUUCUAAAGGUCUGCGACAUGAAGCCAUUUGCCAAGAGCUGGGUGGAGUAGAAGAAAAUCCCUGGAAAGUCACCAGAAGAGCCCUCCACCAGCCGGACCUCCUUCCCAGUGGAAUGGUUUUCUACCCACACGUGAACAGUCUCAGACUGUCCUACCAAGGUUCGUCAAGAUCUGACUGUGCCUUCCAGAAAGGGCAUCUCUGUGUGCACAGCACAUGUGAAGCCAGUGUUCUAUGGCUUGCACAUUUGGUUUUUUUAAGAGCAAACCAAUCUGUGAGUCCAGUCAAGUACAUCAACACUAAGGUGGAAGGAAACUUGAAGGGGAGGUUCUCAUAGAUUCCCCAUUCCUGAACCCUUGGAGUCCCUAAAGGUAAGCAUUGGCUCCAGCCCUGACAGUUCCCGGCUGUCCCUAUGGGGAGGGAGCUCCAGAACCUCCCUGUCUUUCACCAAGUCAAGCUGCCCUGGGGGAGGUGACUCGUAUUUCCUUCAAUAAGAAUUAAAAUAGAGGGGGUUGGGGAUUUAGCUCAGUGGUAGAGCGCUUGCCUAGCAAGUGCAAGGCCCUGGGUUCGGUCCCCAGCUCCGAAAAAUAGAAAAGAAAAAAAAAAAAGAAUUAAAAUUGAGAGAGAGAGAGAGAGAGAGAGAGAGAGAGAGAGAGAGAGAGAGAGAUAUCCUUGGUUGCUUUUCUGUUCUGUGUUGUUUCUACAUUUCUGUUUCAUUACAAUUAAACAAACAAACAAACAAAAAAAGCAUAAAGUCCAGGCCACAGGCUGGGGAACAGUAUCUGCAAAAUAUGUAUCUUCCUGAGACUGGUACCCAAAGUGAUCCAAAGACUCACUGGUAAGAAAGUAUCUUGCAAGCUUGUGAAGGGGGAAAGCUCCGAACUCGCUUUCGUCACUAGGACACACGGAAGGGGAAAGCAGCUCCCACAAAGUAUCCUCUGGCGUGUGUACACCACCUCCCCAAAAA